rnacentral:rRNA from 1 species
UAGGAUUAGAUACCCUAUUAUUCAUAUCAAAAAUAUAAUGCUGGACAGUAAAAACAACAGUUUAAAAUCUAAAGAUCUUGGCGGCGUUUCAUCUAAUCAGGGGAACCUGUUCCUUAAUCCGAUAAUCCACGCAUAAUCUACCAUUUUUUGAAUAACAGCCUGUAUACUGCCGUCCCAAGUAUACUUCUAAGAAACUAUACAACAAUAGAUAAACUACAGAUGUCAGGUCAUAGUACAGCUAAUAAAAUGGAGGAAAUGGGUUACAACCAACAAAUAGAUGCCACAAUAAAUUCAAAAUUUUAUAAAAAGAUGGACUUGAUAGUAAUAACUAGAUACAAAACAGUUAUGAAAUAGAAUCUGAAGCGUGCACACAUC